CGGCGAACGGGUGAGUAACGCGUAGGUAACCUGCCCUAUACUCGGGGAUAACACAGAGAAAUUUGUGCUAAUACCCGAUGAGGCAAUUUAUUGUCAAAGGUAACGGUAUAGGAUGGGCCUGCGUCUGAUUAGCUAGUUGGUGAGGUAAAUGCUCACCAAGGCAACGAUCAGUAGCUGGUUUGAGAGGAUGAUCAGCCACACUGGAACUGAGACACGGUCCAGACUCCUACGGGAGGCAGCAGUGAGGAAUUUUGCACAAUGGGGGAAACCCUGAUGCAGCGACGCCGUGUGUGCGAUGAAGGGGCUCAGCCCUGUAAAGUACUGUCAGUAGUGAAAAAAAGAAGGGUUGCCCUUCUGGGAUUGUAGCUACAAAGGAAGGACCGGCUAACUACGUGCCAGCAGCCGCGGUAAU
rnacentral:rRNA from 1 species